rnacentral:lncRNA from 1 species
AAAAGUCUAUUUAAUUAUAAUUUUAAAGAAAACAAAUAAGAAUAGUGACAAUGUUAAUUUAUUUAAUCUUAAGUUGAUGGUGUUUAGGCAUUGUUAUGCUAAAUAGAGCAAACCAAAAUCCUCAAUGGCAAUCAAAUAGAGAACAUUGUGCAAACGGUAUACAAAUAAUUUUCUGGAACAUCCUUUUCUGAAAUCUACCGCAGCAUCCCGGCAUAUGCCCACUCCUAUGCUUAUUAACUUCAUCCAAACACACAUGAAUUUAUCCUUAACAAAAUUGGUUCAAAUUGAAAUUCCAUCCUAGUAUUAAUAAUAAAACUUUUAACACCACAGUAAAGCAUAUCCACGUUAACCUCUGUAUAAUGACGAAAACAAGCCAAACUCAAUGAGAAAGCCCACCGAUAAUUUGGUUUACGGCAUGAAUCGGCUUUAACAACAACACAGUAUUUAAUCAUAUAAUCAACAAGCAACAACAUGUUUUGUUUGUUUUUUUUUAUUUUAAAAACUUUACAAUAUCAACAAUUUAAAUGACAAUAAAGUGGACAAUUUGGAAAUUAAGGACACACUUGAAACAGGUUUUAUGACUAAAAUCAUGACGCAUGAAGGCUGCGGAUUUCUGCAACGGCUUUUAAGCGUACAACCUCAACCAAGCGGGAUUAAAUCAAUUAUAUAGCACAAAUGAUAAAAUACAAAAAAAAAAGCUAGGCGCAAGAGAUUAAAUAGAAAUACACCUCAAUGGCAAUUAAUCCAGACCAAAACCAAAAAAUUGAAACAACGAACAUGACAUAAACAGAGUUGAAGAGAAAUGACUCAGAUUUACCGACACCGUUAGUCAAGGAUGUGCUGCAAAUCGUUGAGGUAGAGCUCCUUUGUUUCAUACACGUCCUUGCUGUAAAGGAAAAAAACCUAUUCUGGUUUCGACUGGAACAUGCGAAAUCCGAACCAUCACGAACCAAGACCUCUUCAGAAAACCAAAUGCGAUCUUGAAUAGCAUGUUGACGAUGUUUAUCCGAGAGGACUUGUUGUGGACUGCUCGGCGAUUCAGCGAAGAAGUGGUGUCUCCUGGACGAAGGCACGAUUGGUGAAGAGGAUCCGGUGGAACAAUUGUAGUCGGAUGAGGGUUUGAAGUGGUGAAGCGAGCGAUGAAGGUGUGGGUCGGAAUCGUGAGCGGUGGAGGGUGAAGGUCGCG